rnacentral:rRNA from 1 species
CCCUUAGAUGUUCUGGGCCGCACGCGCGCUACACUGAUGCAUUCAACGAGCCUAUCCUUGACCGACAGGUCCGGGUAAUCUUUGAAUCUGCAUCGUGACGGGGAUAGAUUAUUGCAAUUAUUAAUCUUCAACGAGGAAUGCCUAGUAGGCGCAAGUCAUCAGCUUGCGUCGAUUACGUCCCUGCCCUUUGUACACACCGCCCGUCGCUCCUACCGAUUGGGUGUGCUGGUGAAAUGUUCGGAUCGGCCGUUUGUCGCGGUUUCCGCGUCAUGUGGCUGAGAAGUUCAUUAAACCCUCCCACCUAGAAGAAGGAGAAGUCGUAACA